UUAAGUUAGAAAGGGCGCACGGUGAAUGCCUUGGCACUAGGAGCCGAUGAAGGACGGGACUAACACCGAUAUGCUUCGGGGAGCUGUAAGUGAGCUUUGAUCCGGAGAUUUCCGAAUGGGGAAACCCACUGUUCGUAAUGGAACAGUAUCUUUAUCUGAAUACAUAGGAUAUUGAAGGCAGACCCGGGGAACUGAAACAUCUAAGUACCCGGAGGAAGAGAAAGCAAAUGCGAUUUCCUGAGUAGCGGCGAGCGAAACGGAAUUAGCCCAAACCAAGAGGCUUGCCUCUUGGGGUUGUAGGACACUCUAUACGGAGUUACAAAGGAACGAAGUAAAUGAAGCGACCUGGAAAGGUCCGUCGAAGAAGGUAACAACCCUGUAGUUGAAACUUCGUUCCCUCUUGAGUGGAUCCUGAGUACGGCGGAACACGUGAAAUUCCGUCGGAAGCUGGGAGGACCAUCUCCCAAGGCUAAAUACUACCUAGUGACCGAUAGUGAACCAGUACCGUGAGGGAAAGGUGAAAAGCACCCCGGAAGGGGAGUGAAAGAGAUCCUGAAACCGUGUGCCUACAAGUAGUCAGAGCCCGUUAACGGGUGAUGGCGUGCCUUUUGUAGAAUGAACCGGCGAGUUACGAUCCCAUGCAAGGUUAAGCUGAUAAGGCGGAGCCGUAGCGAAAGCGAGUCUGAAUAGGGCGUUUAGUAUGUGGUUGUAGACCCGAAACCAGGUGAUCUACCCAUGUCCAGGGUGAAGUUCAGGUAACACUGAAUGGAGGCCCGAACCCACGCACGUUGAAAAGUGCGGGGAUGAGGUGUGGGUAGCGGAGAAAUUCCAAUCGAACCUGGAGAUAGCUGGUUCUCUCCGAAAUAGCUUUAGGGCUAGCCUCAUGUUGUGAGAGUCUUGGAGGUAGAGCACUGAUUGGACUAGGGGCCCCCAACGGGUUACCGAAUUCAGUCAAACUCCGAAUGCCAAAGACUUAUCCAUGGGAGUCAGACUGCGAGUGAUAAGAUCCGUAGUCAAAAGGGAAACAGCCCAGACCACCAGCUAAGGUCCCCAAGUAUACGUUAAGUGGAAAAGGAUGUGGAGUUGCUUAGACAACCAGGAUGUUGGCUUAGAAGCAGCCACCAUUUAAAGAGUGCGUAAUAGCUCACUGGUCGAGUGACUCUGCGCCGAAAAUGUACCGGGGCUAAACGUAUCACCGAAGCUGUGGAUUGACAUCUUUGAUGUCAGUGGUAGGAGAGCGUUCUAAGUGCUGUGAAGUCAGACCGUAAGGACUGGUGGAGCGCUUAGAAGUGAGAAUGCCGGUAUGAGUAGCGAAAGACAAGUGAGAAUCUUGUCCACCGAAUGCCUAAGGUUUCCUGAGGAAGGCUCGUCCGCUCAGGGUUAGUCGGGACCUAAGCCGAGGCUGAAAAGCGUAGGCGAUGGCCAACAGGUUGAUAUUCCUGUACCACCUCCCCGCCGUUUGAGUAAUGGGGGGACGCAGUAGGAUAGGGUAAGCGCGCUGCUGGAUAUGCGCGUUCAAGCAGUUAGGCUGAUGAGUAGGCAAAUCCGCUCAUCAUAAAGGCUGAGCUGUGAUGACGAGGGAAUUAUAGUACCGAAGUUCCUGAUUCCACACUGCCAAGAAAAGCCUCUAGCGAGGCGGGAGGUGCCCGUACCGCAAACCGACACAGGUAGGCGAGGAGAGAAUCCUAAGGUGAUCGAGAGAACUCUCGUUAAGGAACUCGGCAAAAUGACCCCGUAACUUCGGGAGAAGGGGUGCUCUGGUAGGGUGUAUAGCCCGAGAGAGCCGCAGUGAAUAGGCCCAGGCGACUGUUUAGCAAAAACACAGGUCUCUGCGAAGCCGCAAGGCGAAGUAUAGGGGCUGACGCCUGCCCGGUGCUGGAAGGUUAAGAGGAGGGGUUAUCCUUUGGGAGAAGCUCUGAAUCGAAGCCCCAGUAAACGGCGGCCGUAACUAUAACGGUCCUAAGGUAGCGAAAUUCCUUGUCGGGUAAGUUCCGACCCGCACGAAAGGCGUAACGAUCUGGGCACUGUCUCAACGAGAGACUCGGUGAAAUUAUAGUACCUGUGAAGAUGCAGGUUACCCGCGACAGGACGGAAAGACCCCGUGGAGCUUUACUGUAGCCUGAUAUUGAAUUUUGGUACAGCUUGUACAGGAUAGGUAGGAGCCUGAGAAGCCGGAGCGCUAGCUUCGGUGGAGGCGUCGGUGGGAUACUACCCUGGCUGUAUUGAAAUUCUAACCCGCGGCCCUGAUCGGGCCGGGAGACAGUGUCAGGUGGGCAGUUUGACUGGGGCGGUCGCCUCCUAAAAUGUAACGGAGGCGCCCAAAGGUUCCCUCAGAAUGGUUGGAAAUCAUUCGUAGAGUGUAAAGGCACAAGGGAGCUUGACUGCGAGACCUACAAGUCGAGCAGGGACGAAAGUCGGGCUUAGUGAUCCGGUGGUUCCGCAUGGAAGGGCCAUCGCUCAACGGAUAAAAGCUACCCCGGGGAUAACAGGCUUAUCUCCCCCAAGAGUCCACAUCGACGGGGAGGUUUGGCACCUCGAUGUCGGCUCAUCGCAUCCUGGGGCUGUAGUCGGUCCCAAGGGUUGGGCUGUUCGCCCAUUAAAGCGGUACGCGAGCUGGGUUCAGAACGUCGUGAGACAGUUCGGUCCCUAUCCGUCGUGGGCGUAGGAAAUUUGAGAGGAGCUGUCCUUAGUACGAGAGGACCGGGAUGGACACACCGCUGGUGUACCAGUUGUCUUGCCAAAGGCAUCGCUGGGUAGCUAUGUGUGGACGGGAUAAGUGCUGAAAGCAUCUAAGCAUGAAGCCCCCUCAAGAUGAGAUUUCCCAUAGCGCAAGCUAGUAAGAUCCCUGAAAGAUGAUCAGGUUGAUAGGUCAGAGGUGGAAGCGUGGCGACAUGUGUAGCUGACUGAUACUAAUCGAUCGAGGACUUAACCAA
rnacentral:rRNA from 1 species